UAAUUUAUUUAGGACAGAUUCUCAUUUAGUUAUAGUAAAUCUCAUACCUGACUGCUUAGAAUCAUUCACUAUUAUGUGAAUAAUAACUUUUUAAGAUUUUAAUUAAAGU
rfam:Populus trichocarpa isolate Nisqually-1 chromosome 10, whole genome shotgun sequence.